rnacentral:rRNA from 1 species
GCGAAGCUGGGGCGAGCAGGUGGGGUAAUGGCGGGGGCUCGAGCGUUAGGCGGAAUGACUGGGCUUAAAGGUGGCGUAGGCGGCUCGCGAAGGGCUUUGUGAAAUCCGACAGCUCAACGGUGGAACAGCAGGGCAAGCUGGCGGGCUUGAGGCAGGUAGGGGCCGGAAGAACAGUUGGUGGAGCGGUGAAAGGCGUAGAUAUCAACUGGAAUGCCGAUGGGGAAGCCGUCCGGCUGGGCCUGUCCUGACGCUGAGGCACGAAAGCGUGGGGAGCAAACAGGUUUAGAUACCCGUGUAGUC